rnacentral:sRNA from 1 species
CUGGGGCUCUUCCAGCAUCACGAUGCCAUCACUGGCACGGCCAAGGAGGCUGUGGUGGUGGACUAUGGGGUCAGGCUUCUGCGCUCCCUUGUCAACCUGAAGCAGGUCAUCAUUCAUGCAGCCCACUAUCUGGUGCUGGGGGACAAGGAGACCUACCACUUUGACCCUGAGGCGCCCUUCCUCCAAGUGGAUGACACUCGCUUAAGUCACGACGCCCUCCCAGAGCGCACGGUGAUCCAGCUGGAUUCGUCGCCCAGGAGCGAUUCAGCAUGGUGUCCCUGCUGGUCAACUCUCCCCGCGUGCGUGUCCUUUCGGAGGAGAGUCAGCCCCUGGCCGUGCAGAUCAGCGCACACUGGAGCUCUGCCACCGAGGCGGUCCCUGACGUCUACCAGGUGUCUGUGCCUGUCCGCCUGCCAGCCCUGGGCCUGGGCGUGCUGCAGCUACAGCUGGGCCUGGAUGG